rnacentral:rRNA from 1 species
GCAUAUCAAUAAGCGGAGGAAAAGAAACCAACAGGGAUUGCCCUAGUAACGGCGAGUGAAGCGGCAACAGCUCAAAUUUGAAAUCUGGCUCUUUCAGAGUCCGAGUUGUAAUUUGCAGAGGGCGCUUUGGCUUUGGCAGCGGUCCAAGUUCCUUGGAACAGGACGUCACAGAGGGUGAGAAUCCCGUACGUGGUCGCUAGCUAUUGCCGUGUAAAGCCCCUUCGACGAGUCGAGUUGUUUGGGAAUGCAGCUCUAAAUGGGAGGUAAAUUUCUUCUAAAGCUAAAUAUUGGCCAGAGACCGAUAGCGCACAAGUAGAGUGAUCGAAAGAUGAAAAGCACUUUGGAAAGAGAGUCAAACAGCACGUGAAAUUGUUGAAAGGGAAGCGCUUGCAGCCAGACUUGCUUGCAGUUGCUCAUCCGGGCUUUUGCCCGGUGCACUCUUCUGUAGGCAGGCCAGCAUCAGUUUGGGCGGUGGGAUAAAGGUCUCUGUCACGUACCUCCUUUCGGGGAGGCCUUAUAGGGGAGACGACAUACCACCAGCCUGGACUGAGGUCCGCGCAUCUGCUAGGAUGCUGGCGUAAUGGCUGUAAGCGGCCCGUCUUGAAACACGGACCAAGGAGUCUAACAUCUAUGCGAGUGUUUGGGUGUCAAGCCCGAGCGCGUAAUGAAAGUGAACGGAGGUGGGAACCCGCAAGGGCGCACCAUCGACCGAUCCUGAAGUUUACGGAAGGAUUUGAGUAAGAGCAUGGCUGUUGGGACCCGAAAGAUGGUGAACUAUGCUUGAAUAGGGUGAAGCCAGAGGAAACUCUGGUGGAGGCUCGCAGCGGUUCUGACGUGCAAAUCGAUCGUCAAAUUUGGGCAUAGGGGCGAAAGACUAAUCGAACUAUCUAGUAGCUGGUUCCUGCG